CGCGGAAAACAGCUGUUGGUUUCUAACACAGUGAUCAUAAGCAACGUAUUUUGUUUUUGUGCGUGUCUUCAUUACUUAAAUCGAGAGUUUUGUGCAAAUAUGCCGAAGUCGGGUGCUGAAAGGACAAAACCGUGGCGGGAGAAAAAACGGGCGAGUGAAGGAAUUGAUCAGAAUAGAAAACGGUAAAAAAGUAAAACUGAAAUUGAACGAGAUAGUAGGGAACGGAGGCAAACACGUGCUAACCUCUUACGUGACAGUGUGGACGAUAGUGUAAAUAAUCCAGAGAAUGAACUAUUAGCAACGACUUCGACUCAUCCUCGUCCUGAUUGUGAUGUAUAUCGUGGUGAUCGAUUACAAUAUUCAGACUUUAAUAAGUUUGAAACUGCACAUAAGAACUUUCACCGUGAUUUUAUAAAUAAUCCAUUCGGUUUUACGUGUUGUGUAUAUUAUAGAUUAUGGUUUAAAAAUGACUUGAAGACUCUAUCCGUUGAAAAUGAAAUUCGUAUUCAACAAAAAUUUCCAGAAUUCAGAAGUAAUAAUGAGCUGGCAUGCACCAGCUGUCACCAGGCUUUGAGGAGAGACAAAAUUCCAACACUGUCGAAAUUGAAUGGCUUUGUAUAUCCCCCGAUCCCUGCACAUCUUCCGAAGUUAGAUUUAGUGUCCGAGAGACUCAUUUCUCCUAGAAUUCCAUUUAUGCAAAUUCGCAGAUUGCGUCAUGUGCAUGGACAAUUCGGAAUUUUGGGGCAGGUGAUCAAUGUUCCAGUGGAUGUCAAUACAAUGGUCAGUCACUAGCCCAGGAACAUUGACGACGAUCAAUGUGUUUACGUUCAUAUCAAGAGAAAAAGAGAGUUUGUUCACCUUCACUUGCUGCCGUAUACUCCAGUGGGAGCUGCAGAAGUUGGAGUAGAGCUGGACAAAAUACCUAUGAUUAUAGGUGGAGAUUUUAAUGUUAAUUUUAAUUCAGAGGAUUGCAAGCCAUUUAUUCAGUUCUUGCAACAGAAAUUGUCAUUGGAAAUGAACAAUUCACCAAUUGAAUCGACUACACGCCAUGGUACCACGAUCGAUGCAGUUUUCUCACGUUCCAUCGAAAAUUUGGAGUCAAGAGUCUUCAUUACCUAUUUUAGUUACCACAAACCUAUCAUUUCGUUCAUGAAGAGUCUACCAGAGGAUGAAGUUCCCAACAAUCAUCAGACGGAUCACGAAAUAUUAUUAUUGAAACUGGACGUCACCCUGAUCAGUUAAACACAAGGCAUACUAUCAAUGUUGUGUAAGACUUUAUUAAUCGAAUAGUACCAGACUAUUUUAUACUAUUGCAUCUAUUGGAAAUAUGUGUUCUUCACAUGUUAAACUACAAGACGGAAGUGAAUUAAUUAUGAUUGUAAUAUACAUUUCACCUAAUAACAAAAUGGAUCAUCUCAUUUCAUUUUUACAUGAAAGGUUAUUUCCUUAUAGUCAAACAGGUUCAAUAAUUCUUAAAACGAAUAAACAUAAACUACCAUUAUUUUUAGCUGCAUAUUUCAAUGUAAAUUUUGCAAGAGCUGAAUCAAUGCCAUUAAUGACAUUUCUUCAAAAAGAAUUUCAAUGGCAAAUCAAUAACGAUCCAAAAGAAUCUACUACCAAAUAUGGAACAACAAUAAAUGCUGCAUUUGUGAGAUAUCUUGAUGGUGUUUCAUCCAAUACUUUCGUAACGUACUUUAGUUAUCAUCGACCAAUCGUCACAGUAAUACCGGCAGAGGAAAAAUCGAAUAUAACUAUUAUUGAAGCCACAGAUGAAAAUAUUUAAAUUGUGGCAACUUGAUACUAAUAUCGAAUUUUUAUAUCAUGUAAAUAAAUGUUUAUUAAAUAGAGUUACCAUUUACUGUAAGAA